UACGUAGGGUGCGAGCGUUGUCCGGAAUCAUUGGGCGUAAAGGGCGUGUAGGUGGUUUUGUAUGUCUACCGUGAAAGCGUACGGCUCAACCGUAUUUAGUCGGUAGAAACUGCAGGACUUGAGGCUGGGAGGGGCUGGUGGAAUUCCCCGUGUAGCGGUGAAAUGCGUAGAGAUGGGGGAGAACACUCGUGGCGAAGGCGGCCAGCUAGACCAGUUCUGACACUGAGGCGCGAUAGCGUGGGGAGCAAACAGG
rnacentral:rRNA from 1 species